AUUGAACGCUAGCGGGAUGCCUUACACAUGCAAGUCGAACGGAGUGGCGAACGGGUGAGUAAUGUAUCGGUACGUGCCCCGUAGCGGGGGAUAACUACGCGAAAGCGUAGGUAAUACCGCAUACUAUUGGAGCGGCCGAUAUCGGAUUAGCUAGUUGGUGGGGGAACGGACCACCUAGGCGACGAUCAGUAGCUGGUGUGAGAGGACGACCAGCCACAUUGGGACUGAGACACGGCCCAGACUCCUACGGGAGGCAGCAGUGGGGAAUUUUGGACAAUGGGGGAAAACCUGAUCCAGCCAUCCCGCGUGUGCGAUGAAGGCCUUCGGGUUGUAAAGCACUUUUGGCAGGAAGGCGGUACCUGCAGAAUAAGCACCGGCUAACUACGUGCCAGCAGCCGCGGUAAUAC
rnacentral:rRNA from 1 species